GAUGAACGCUGGCGGCGUGCCUAAUACAUGCAAGUCGAGCGAACGGACGAGAGGCUUGCUUCUCUGAUGUUAGCGGCGGACGGGUGAGUAACACGUGGAUAACCUACCUAUAAGACUGGGAUAACUUCGGGAAACCGGAGCUAAUACCGGAUAAUAUUUUGAACCGCAUGGUUCAAAAGUGAAAGACGGUCUUGCUGUCACUUAUAGAUGGAUCCGCGCUGCAUUAGCUAGUUGGUUAGGUAACGGCUUACCAAGGCAACGAUGCAUAGCCGACCUGAGAGGGUGAUCGGCCACACUGGAACUGAGACACGGUCCAGACUCCUACGGGAGGCAGCAGUAGGGAAUCUUCCGCAAUGGGCGAAAGCCUGACGGAGCAACGCCGCGUGAGUGAUGAAGGUCUUCGGAUCGUAAAACUCUGUUAUUAGGGAAGAACAUAUGUGUAAGUAACUGUGCACAUCUUGACGGUACCUAAUCAGAAAGCCACGGCUAACUACGUG
rnacentral:rRNA from 1 species